rnacentral:rRNA from 1 species
UUGUUGGUAAGGUAAAAGCUUACCAAGGCUUCGAUCAGUAGCUGGUCUGAGAGGACGACCAGCCACACUGGGACUGAGACACGGCCCAAACUCCUACGGGAGGCAGCAGUGGGGAAUUUUGGACAAUGGGGGCAACCCUGAUCCAGCCAUGCCGCGUGAGUGAAGAAGGCCUUCGGGUUGUAAAGCUCUUUCAGCCGGAACGAAACGGUUACGGAUAACACCCGUGACUACUGACGGUACCGGAAGAAGAAGCACCGGCUAACUACGUGCCAGCAGCCGCGGUAAUACGUAGGGUGCGAGCGUUAAUCGGAAUUACUGGGCGUAAAGCGUGCGCAGGUGGUUUUGUAAGUCAGAUGUGAAAGCCCCGGGCUCAACCUGGGAACUGCGUUUGAAACUACAAGACUAGAGUGUGGCAGAGGGGGGUGGAAUUCCGCGUGUAGCAGUGAAAUGCGUAGAGAUGUGGAGGAACACCGAUGGCGAAGGCAGCCCCCUGGGUCAACACUGACGCUCAGGCACGAAAGCAUGGGGAGCAAACAGGAUUAGAUACCCUGGUAGUCCAUGCCCUAAACGAUGUCAACUAGUUGUCGGGCCUUUACGGGCUUGGUAACGUAGCUAACGCGUGAAGUUGACCGCCUGGGGAGUACGAUCGCAAGAUUAAAACUCAAAUGAAUUGACGGGGACCCGCACAAGCGGUGGAUUAUGUGGAUUAAUUCGAUGCAACGCGAAAAACCUUACCUACCCUUGACAUGUAUCGAAGCCCGCAGAAAAGCGGGGGUGCCCGAAAGGGAACGAUAACACAGGUGCUGCAUGGCUGUCGUCAGCUCGUGUCGUGAGAUGUUGGGUUAAGUCCCGCAACGAGCGCAACCCUUGUCAUUAAUUGCCAUCAUUUAGUUGGGCACUUUAAUGAGACUGCCGG